rnacentral:rRNA from 1 species
GACGAACGCUGGCGGCGUGCUUAACACAUGCAAGUCGAACGCUGAAGCUCAGCUUUUGUUGGGUGGAUGAGUGGCGAACGGGUGAGUAACACGUGAGUAACCUGCCCCCUUCUUUGGGAUAACGCCCGGAAACGGGUGCUAAUACUGGAUAUUCACUGGUCUUCGCAUGGGGGUUGGUGGAAAGGGUUUUUCUGGUGGGGGAUGGGCUCGCGGCCUAUCAGCUUGUUGGUGGGGUGAUGGCCUACCAAGGCUUUGACGGGUAGCCGGCCUGAGAGGGUGACCGGUCACAUUGGGACUGAGAUACGGCCCAGACUCCUACGGGAGGCAGCAGUGGGGAAUAUUGCACAAUGGGCGCAAGCAUGAUGCAGCGACGCCGCGUGAGGGAUGGAGGCCUGCGGGUUGUGAACCUCUUUCGCUCAUGGUCAAGCCGCAACAAUGGUUGUGGUGAGGGUAGUGGGUAAAGAAGCGCCGGCUAACUACGUG